rnacentral:rRNA from 1 species
AGAGUUUGAUCCUGGCUCAGGAUGAACGCUAGCUACAGGCUUAACACAUGCAAGUCGAGGGGAAACGACAUCGAAAGCUUGCUUUUGAUGGGCGUCGACCGGCGCACGGGUGAGUAACGCGUAUCCAACCUGCCCACCACUUGGGGAUAACCUUGUGAAAGUAAGACUAAUACCCAAUGACGUCUCUAGAAGACAUCUGAAAGGGAUUAAAGAUUUAUCGGUGAUGGAUGGGGAUGCGUCUGAUUAGCUUGUUGGCGGGGUAACGGCCGACCAAGGCUACGAUCAGUAGGGGUUCUGAGAGGAAGGUCCCCACGAUUGGAACUGAGACACGGUCCAAACUCCUACGGGAGGCA